UACGUAGGGUCCGAGCGUUGUCCGGAAUUACUGGGCGUAAAGAGCUCGUAGGUGGUUUGUCGCGUUGUUCGUGAAAACUCACAGCUCAACUGUGGGCGUGCGGGCGAUACGGGCAGACUUGAGUACUGCAGGGGAGACUGGAAUUCCUGGUGUAGCGGUGGAAUGCGCAGAUAUCGAGAGGAACACCUGCGGCGAAGGCGGGUAGCUGGGCCGACACUGACGCUGAGGCGCGAAAGCCAGGGGAGCGAACGGG
rnacentral:rRNA from 1 species